rnacentral:lncRNA from 1 species
CGAAUUUAACCAGAGGUAAAAGUUUGUGGCCAAAAUCAAAAGAAGAAAAGAAUCACAUUGAACGCUCCACGAAAGUAGAGGGACUAAUAUCGAAAUAGACCACUAUAAUCAAAACGCGCGGAUCUGCUCUGCGGGUCGGGUCGACGAGCGGGUUAAAGGCCUCAUACGACGCCGUUUUAGAGCCACUGAAGCAGGCUCUAUACGGCGUCGUUUAAUCCCUCUUUUAAAAUACUUCAGAAAACCCUAAACCUUAUCCCUCUUUAAACAAUACUAAAAAAAAACAAAACUGAAGGCCCCCUAAGAGCGCCGUUUCAGCGCAAAACCUUUCCCUUUUCUCUCCGAUCUGAGUAGAGGAGAUGGAGGCUUUUGACGGCGCACCAGUUCAGGUAAGAUUGCCUCUCGUUUUUAUAUAUAUAUAUAUAUAUUCUUAUAUACAUAUAUAUAUAUACAUAAUAAAAAGAGAAAGACAGAAACAAAUCAUAAAAAAAGAAUGAAAAAGAGGAAAAAAAAAACCUUCUGUUCAAAGAUUUUUGAUUUUAUUGAUUUAGCAAUAUUUUUUCAAUCGAAUCCUCCCCCUGCAAUCGUUUUGGAGAAAUGGCUUUAUAGCCGAAAUUACAAGGUCCUAUCUGUUUCUUUCUCCUUGUUUCUUUUUUGUUGUUUUUUUUUUUUUGCUCUGUUUGCCCUUGUUGUUUUCGUGUGUUGCAGGUAUCCUUUUCAGCCUUCUUUUGCAGUCGAUGGCGGUCAACGGAGGCAAGUAUUUGCCGUUUUGGUGCAAGGCGCAGCUGGCGGUGGCAGACCUCGGGCGGGGUGCGCGCUGAAGGCGUACAUGGGUAGCAGCGGCGCGAGGCAAUGGCAGGGAACCCUAGGGUUCCCUGUGCUGCUUAGUUUUUGGGCCCCAAUGGGCCGUUUAGGGUUUUAAAGAUUUGGGCCAUUUUGGCCUGUUGUACAUGGACAGUUUUGGGCCCGGGCAAAUUGGGCUGUACAAUAUUUUAUUUAUAUUUUAAAUAUGAAUAAAUAUUUAAAUUUGGAUUAUAUCAUAAAACUAACCAUGGUGAAACUGAAAUCUGCCAGAAAUAAAAUUCAAAUUUAGUAAAAGAGUUAAAUGAUGGAACAGCUAGGGUCACAUUUGCUUAAUGUUUAUAUACUUUAUUAAGAAUCGUA